rnacentral:rRNA from 1 species
AGAGAUGCUUUAGUGCCUUCGGGAACUCUGAGACAGGUGCUGCAUGGCUGUCGUCAGCUCGUGUUGUGAAAUGUUGGGUUAAGUCCCGNAACGAGCGCAACCCUUAUCCUUUGUUGCCAGCACGUAAUGGUGGGAACUCAAAGGAGACUGCCGGUGAUAAACCGGAGGAAGGUGGGGAUGACGUCAAGUCAUCAUGGCCCUUACGAGUAGGGCUACACACGUGCUACAAUGGCGCAUACAAAGAGAAGCGACCUCGCGAGAGCAAGCGGACCUCAUAAAGUGCGUCGUAGUCCGGAUUGGAGUCUGCAACUCGACUCCAUGAAGUCGGAAUCGCUAGUAAUCGUAAAUCAGAAUGUUACGGUGAAUACGUUCCCGGGCCUUGUACACACCGCCCGUCACGCCAUGGGAGUGGGUUGCAAAAGAAGUAGAUAGCUUAACCUUCGGGAGGGCGUUUACCACUUUGUGAUUCAUGACUGGGGUGAAGUCGUAACAAGGUAGGCGUAGUGCU